CAGGCAGAAAACUCAUGUGCUCCUACUGGGCGUGGAAUGUACUCCACGGGUUGGAAAUGGCCUUCCUGUUACUUUCUCUCCUAUUACUAUUCUGGAUUCUCUUAUUACUGGAAAAUGUCCUCAAUACCCAGGGAUCACUCAGCACAAGGUCAAGAGCUGACUGUCAGCAAGAAAGAAAAGCAGAGCAAAGAAAUGAAGACCAUGUGAAAGGAAAACAUUGCUUUCAAGGCUCUGCCUACAAGGUCCACAUGAAAGUAAGUAUAACAUUAAAAACUCUGGCUGCUAGAGCUAGGAUAGUGGAAGGUGCAAGAUAUUUGCUGGAGUGAUGCAGAGUCCAGAGGGAAAGUUGUCCCAAGAAAAAUCCAGGCGGGGGGAAAGACUCGGCACCAGGGUCAGAUUAUGAGGGUCAUUUAAUAUGUGAUCCUGAGCAAAUCAGAGUUCUUCUGGGCUUUAAAAGGAAGAUUCAAUAAUGGCACCUACUCCAUAAGGCUGUUGUGAG
rnacentral:lncRNA from 1 species